ACUCACUCCCUCUCCCUCGCUCGUUCUCUCGCUCUGUAUUCCGCCCGCCGCCGGCGUUGCCAUGCACCGCUCGGUCCCGCGGCCACCGCCGUCCCCGCGCCCCGCCAAUGUGUCCAGCAGCUCCGGCGUGGUCCUCUUCAUCGUCAUCGUCCCUGGGUCAAGGCUGAGGAGCCGCCGCAACGUCACCAUCGACCACCUCGUCCUCUACCUCCGGCCACCGCGACGCCAUCGACGGAUUCGUCAUCUUCACUGCACCCCCGGCCUCCUCGAGCUCGUCCCCGAAACCGUGAAGAUAGAGUCCAGGAGGCAGACGCCAUCGUCGACGACGACUCCUACUACACUGGAGGUGCCUACUACUACGUGCAGGCCAUUGACGAUGACCAAGAGUAAUUUAGGAGGAUCCCAGGCAGGAGGCCUGCGUCUCUUUCGAUCUGUAUUCCAGUUUGUGCUAGCCUUCUUAAGGCAAACUUGUUUAACUUAUGUCUGUACUCAGAUAUUGUUGCUUCCGCUGACUCGUCUAUGAUCGAGCUCUUGUAUUCGAGCCUU